rnacentral:RNase_MRP_RNA from 2 species
GCACCAUCCAGAGAAUCGCUGUCGCAGCUCACGCACUGAAAGCCAUCGCGCUUUCUCACCUUUUGCUGUGGGGAAAGUCCCCGGAGACUUGCAGAGCCACCGUCAAAUGCCGGAGUCUAGCCCAUCACACUUGAGGAAAGCGCCUGUCCCGAGGCACGACAGGAAGUGUGAUCUCCGUGCACAAGACGGGUGCAUUGGCGUCACUUGUUAUAUCACUUGCGAAGCGGUGCAUGUGACUCGAACGACGCGCUCUGCCUCCCGUGCAUGCUGGAUAUCCGCGUAGCAUCUCUCAGUUCCGCAAAGUCCGACCACGAUAUUAUGCGCUGGCGAAGAUAGGAGCCGUGCGGAUUCGUGCAGGAUGGACCUGGGAUGAAGUUGUCCGGAGAAUGGUUGCCGGAAUCGUGUUGCUCAUAGCCGAUAGUUAUGCGAUUGCGUCUAUGCUGGCCUCGGCCAGCACGGUCGUAACCCAAUGGGGCUCAUUCCUGAAUGGUG